CAGUGGGGAUAUUGGACAAUGGGCGAAAGCCUGAUCCAGCCAUGCCGCGUGUGUGAAGAAGGUCUUCGGAUUGUAAAGCACUUUAAGUUGGGAGGAAGGGUUGUAGAUUAAUACUCUGCAAUUUUGACGUUACCGACAGAAUAAGCACCGGCUAACUCUGUGCCAGCAGCCGCGGUAAUACAGAGGGUGCAAGCGUUAAUCGGAAUUACUGGGCGUAAAGCGCGCGUAGGUGGUUAGUUAAGUUGGAUGUGAAAUCCCCGGGCUCAACCUGGGAACUGCAUUCAAAACUGACUGACUAGAGUAUGGUAGAGGGUGGUGGAAUUUCCUGUGUAGCGGUGAAAUGCGUAGAUAUAGGAAGGAACACCAGUGGCGAAGGCGACCACCUGGACUGAUACUGACACUGAGGUGCGAAAGCGUGGGGAGCAAACAGGAUUAGAUACCCUGGUAGUCCACGCCGUAAACGAUGUCAACUAGCCGUUGGGAGCCUUGAGCUCUUAGUGGCGCAGCUAACGCAUUAAGUUGACCGCCUGGGGAGUACGGCCGCAAGGUUAAAACUCAAAUGAAUUGACGGGGGCCCCGCACAAG
rnacentral:rRNA from 1 species